GAUGUGGCGCAGCGGAAGCGUGCUGGGCCCAUAACCCAGAGGUCGGUGGAUCGAAACCACUCAUC
rnacentral:tRNA from 1 species